rnacentral:rRNA from 1 species
CAAGGGAGUGGCGCACGGGUGAGUAGCGCGUGGGAACCUGCCCUGUUGUGGGGGAUAACCGAGGGAAACUUCGGCUAAUACCGCAUACGCCGGUUGUCUUGAAAGAGAUGGCCGGGAAAGAUUUAUCGCAGCAGGAGGGGCCCGCGUCGGAUUAGGUAGUUGGUGGGGUAACGGCCUACCAAGCCUUUGAUCCGUAGCUGGUCUGAGAGGAUGAUCAGCCACACUGGGACUGAGACACGGCCCAGACUCCUACGGGAGGCAGCAGUGGGGAAUAUUGGACAAUGGGCGCAAGCCUGAUCCAGCAAUGCCGCGUGAGUGAUGAAGGCCUUCGGGUUGUAAAGCUCUUUCGCCUGCGAGGAUGAUGACGGUAGCAGGAGAAGAAGCCCCGGCUAACUUCGUGCCAGCAGCCGCGGUAAUACGAAGGGGGCGAGCGUUGUUCGGAAUUACUGGGCGUAAAGGGCGCG